rnacentral:rRNA from 1 species
GACGAACGCUGGCGGCGUGCUUAACACAUGCAAGUCGAACGGAAAGGCCCUGCUUUUGUGGGGUGCUCGAGUGGCGAACGGGUGAGUAACACGUGAGUAACCUGCCCUUGACUUUGGGAUAACUUCAGGAAACUGGGGCUAAUACCGGAUAGGAGCUCCUGCUGCAUGGUGGGGGUUGGAAAGUUUCGGCGGUUGGGGAUGGACUCGCGGCUUAUCAGCUUGUUGGUGGGGUAGUGGCAUACCAAGGCUUUGACGGGUAGCCGGCCUGAGCGGGUGACCGGCCACAUGGGGACUGAGAGACGGCCCAGACUCCUACGGGAGGCAGCAGUGGGGAAUAUUGCACAAUGGGCGGAAGCCUGAUGCAGCAACGCCGCGUGCGGGAUGACGGCCUUCGGGUUGUAAACCGCUUUCGCCUGUGACGAAGCGUGAGUGACGGUAAUGGGUAAAGAAGCACCGGCUAACUACGUG